rnacentral:rRNA from 1 species
CCUACGGGAGGCACCAGUAGGGAAUCUUCGGCAAUGGACGAAAGUCUGACCGAGCAACGCCGCGUGAGUGAAGAAGGUUUUCGGAUCGUAAAACUCUGUUGUUAGAGAAGAACAAGUAGGAGAGUAACUGCUCUUACCUUGACGGUAUCUAACCAGAAAGCCACGGCUAACUACGUGCCAGCAGCCGCGGUAAUACGUAGGUGGCAAGCGUUGUCCGGAUUUAUUGGGCGUAAAGCGAGCGCAGGCGGUCUUUUGAGUCCGAUGUGAAAGCCCUCGGCUCAACCGAGGAAGGUCAUUGGAAACUGGAGGACUUGAGUGCAGAAGAGGAGAGUGGAAUUCCAUGUGUAGCGGUGAAAUGCAUAAAUAUAUGGAGGAACACCAGUGGCGAAGGCGACUCUCUGGUCCGUAACUGACGCUGAGGCUCGAAAGCGUGGGGAGCAAACAGGAUUAGAUACCCGGGUAGUC